rnacentral:rRNA from 1 species
GUGCUGUGAGCUCGAUGAGUAGGGCGGGACACGUGGUAUCCUGUCUGAAUAUGGGGGGACCAUCCUCCAAGGCUAAAUACUCCUGACUGACCGAUAGUGAACCAGUACCGUGAGGGAAAGGCGAAAAGAACCCCGGCGAGGGGAGUGAAAAAGAACCUGAAACCGUGUACGUACAAGCAGUGGGAGCACAGGUUUACCUGUGUGACUGCGUACCUUUUGUAUAAUGGGUCAGCGACUUAUAUUCUGUAGCAAGGUUAACCGAAUAGGGGAGCCGGAGGGAAACCGAGUCUUAAUUGGGCGUUAAGUUGCAGGGUAUAGACCCGAAACCCGGUGAUCUAGCCAUGGGCAGGUUGAAGGUUGGGUAACACUAACUGGAGGACCGAACCGACUAAUGUUGAAAAAUUAGCGGAUGACCUGUGGCUGGGGGUGAAAGGCCAAUCAAACCGGGAGAUAGCUGGUUCUCCCCGAAAGCUAUUUAGGUAGCGCCUCGUGAAUUCAUCUCCGGGGGUAGAGCACUGUUUCGGCUAGGGGGCCAUCCCGGCUUACCAACCCGAUGCAAACUGCGAAUACCGGAGAAUGUUAUCACGGGAGACACACGGCGGGUGCUAACGUCCGUCGUGAAGAGGGAAACAACCCAGACCGCCAGCUAAGGUCCCAAAGUCAUGGUUAAGUGGGAAACGAUGUGGGAAGGCCCAGACAGCCAGGAUGUUGGCUUAGAAGCAGCCAUCAUUUAAAGAAAGCGUAAUAGCUCACUGGUCGAGUCGGCCUGCGCGGAAGAUGUAACGGGGCUAAACCAU